UACGUAGGGUCCGAGCGUUGUCCGGAAUUAUUGGGCGUAAAGAGCUCGUAGGCGGUCUGUCGCGUCGGCUGUGAAAACUCAGGGCUCAACCCUGAGCCUGCAGUCGAUACGGGCAGACUAGAGUUCGGUAGGGGAGACUGGAAUUCCUGGUGUAGCGGUGAAAUGCGCAGAUAUCAGGAGGAACACCGGUGGCGAAGGCAGCUCGCUGGGACGUUACUGACGCUGAGACGCGAAAGCGUGGGGAGCAAACAGG
rnacentral:rRNA from 1 species